GGCCGGCACGCGGUUCCCAGCGGGCCAGCGGCGGUCAGCCGAGGUCGAGACGCCCGCAGGGUGGCCUUAGCGGCCGGUCGUACCACGGCAGCCCCGCCGAUCAGGUUCCUUUGGGAGACUUCGACUUGUUGGCGACCUGAUGGCCAAAAGAAAGGAAGAAAAUUUUUCCUCUCCUAAAAAUGCCAAAAGGCCAAGACAAGAAGAAUUGGAGGAUUUUGAUAAAGAUGGUGACGAAGACGAAUGUAAAGGUACUACUUUGACUGCAGCAGAAGUUGGAAUAAUUGAGAGUAUUCACCUAAAAAACUUCAUGUGUCAUUCAAUGCUUGGACCUUUUAAGUUUGGUUCUAAUGUCAACUUUGUUGUUGGCAACAAUGGAAGUUGGAGUGCAGUGGUGCGAUCUCGGCUCAAUGCAACCUCUGCCUCCCAGGUUCAAGCGAUUCUCCUGUUUCAGCCUUGUGGGAAGAGUGCAGUACUCACAGCUCUCAUAGUUGGUCUUGGUGGAAGAGCAGUUGCUACUAAUAGAGGAUCCUCUUUAAAAGGUUUUGUGAAAGAUGGACAGAACUCUGCAGAUAUCUCAAUAACAUUGAGGAACAGAGGAGAUGAUGCCUUUAAAGCCAGUGUGUAUGGUAACUCUAUACUUAUACAGCAACACAUCAGCAUAGAUGGAAGUCGAUCUUAUAAACUUAAAAGUGCAACAGGCUCCGUGGUUUCCACGAGGAAAGAAGAGCUGAUUGCAAUUCUUGAUCAUUUUAACAUCCAGGUGGAUAAUCCAGUUUCUGUUUUAACACAAGAAAUGAGCAAGCAGUUCUUACAGUCUAAAAAUGAAGGAGACAAAUACAAAUUCUUCAUGAAAGCAACGCAACUUGAACAGAUGAAGGAAGAUUAUUCAUACAUUAUGGAAACGAAAGAAAGAACAAAGGAGCAGAUACAUCAAGGAGAAGAGCGGCUUACUGAACUAAAGCGCCAGUGCGUAGAGAAAGAGGAACGUUUUCAAAGUAUUGCUGGUUUAAGUACAAUGAAGACUAAUUUAGAGUCCUUGAAACAUGAAAUGGCUUGGGCAGUGGUCAAUGAAAUUGAAAAACAAUUGAAUGCUAUCAGAGAUAAUAUCAAAAUUGGAGAAGAUCGUGCUGCUAGACUUGACAGGAAAAUGGAAGAACAGCAGGUCAGACUUAAUGAAGCAGAACAAAAGUACAAGGAUAUUCAAGACAAACUAGAAAAGAUUAGUGAAGAGACAAAUGCACGAGCACCAGAAUGUAUGGCAUUGAAAGCAGAUGUUGUUGCUAAGAAAAGGGCCUAUAAUGAAGCUGAGGUUUUAUAUAACCGAUCCUUAAACGAAUAUAAAGCAUUAAAGAAAGAUGAUGAGCAGCUUUGUAAACGAAUUGAAGAGCUGAAAAAAAGUACUGACCAAUCUUUGGAACCUGAACGGUUGGAAAGACAAAAAAAAAUAUCUUGGUUAAAAGAGAGAGUAAAGGCCUUUCAAAAUCAAGAAAAUUCAGUCAAUCAAGAGAUCGAACAGUUUCAGCAAGCCAUAGAAAAGGACAAAGAAGAACAUGGCAAAAUUAAGAGAGAAGAAUUAGAUGUGAAGCAUGCACUGAGCUACAAUCAGAGGCAACUGAAAGAAUUGAAAGAUAGUAAAACUGAUCGACUCAAAAGAUUUGGCCCUAAUGUUCCAGCUCUUCUUGAAGCCAUAGAUGAUGCUUAUAGACAAGGACAUUUUACCUAUAAACCUGUAGGCCCUUUAGGAGCUUGCAUUCAUCUUCGGGACCCAGAACUUGCUUUGGCUAUUGAAUCUUGCUUAAAAGGGCUUCUGCAGGCCUAUUGUUGCCAUAAUCAUGCUGAUGAAAGGGUCCUUCAGGCACUCAUGAAAAGGUUUUAUUUACCAGGGACCUCACGGCCACCGAUAAUAGUUUCUGAGUUUCGUAAUGAGAUAUAUGAUGUAAGACACAGAGCUGCUUAUCAUCCAGACUUUCCAACAGUUCUGACAGCUUUAGAAAUAGAUAAUGCGGUUGUGGCAAAUAGCCUAAUUGACAUGAGAGGCAUAGAGACAGUGCUACUAAUCAAAAAUAAUUCUGUAGCUCGUGCAGUAAUGCAGUCCCAAAAGCCACCCAAAAAUUGUAGAGAAGCUUUUACUGCUGAUGGUGAUCAAGUUUUUGCAGGACGUUAUUAUUCAUCUGAAAAUACAAGACCUAAGUUCCUAAGCAGAGAUGUGGAUUCUGAAAUAAGUGACUUGGAGAAUGAGGUUGAAAAUAAGACGGCCCAGAUAUUAAAUCUUCAGCAACAUUUAUCUGCCCUUGAAAAAGAUAUUAAACACAAUGAGGAACUUCUUAAAAGGUGCCAACUACAUUAUAAAGAACUAAAGAUGAAAAUAAGAAAAAAUAUUUCUGAAAUUCGGGAACUUGAGAACAUAGAAGAACACCAGUCUGUAGAUAUUGCAACUUUGGAAGAUGAAGCUCAGGAAAAUAAAAGCAAAAUGAAAAUGGUUGAGGAACAUAUGGAGCAACAAAAAGAAAAUAUGGAGCAUCUUAAAAGUCUGAAAAUAGAAGCAGAAAAUAAGUAUGAUGCAAUUAAAUUCAAAAUUAAUCAACUAUCGGAGCUAGCAGACCCACUCAAGGAUGAAUUAAACCUUGCUGAUUCUGAAGUGGAUAACCAAAAACGAGGGAAACGACAUUAUGAAGAAAAACAAAAAGAACACUUGGAUACCUUAAAUAAAAAGAAACGAGAACUGGAUAUGAAAGAGAAAGAACUAGAGGAGAAAAUGUCACAAGCAAGACAAAUCUGCCCAGAGCGUAUAGAAGUAGAAAAAUCUGCAUCAAUUCUGGACAAAGAAAUUAAUCGAUUAAGGCAGAAGAUACAGGCAGAACAUGCUAGUCAUGGAGAUCGAGAGGAAAUAAUGAGGCAGUACCAAGAAGCAAGAGAGACCUAUCUUGAUCUGGAUAGUAAAGUGAGGACUUUAAAAAAGUUUAUUAAAUUACUGGGAGAAAUCAUGGAGCACAGAUUCAAGACAUAUCAACAAUUUAGAAGUUUCAGGCAGAAGAAUAAACCCAAUCUCUAUUACUACAUAAAUCUGUUCCAGAUGCAGUGUUUGACUUUACGAUGCAAAUUAUACUUUGACAACUUACUAUCUCAGCGGGCCUAUUGUGGAAAAAUGAAUUUUGACCACAAGAAUGAAACUCUAAGUAUAUCAGUUCAGCCUGGAGAAGGAAAUAAAGCUGCUUUCAGUGACAUGAGAGCCUUGUCUGGAGGUGAACGUUCUUUCUCCACAGUGUGUUUUAUUCUUUCCCUGUGGUCCAUCGCAGAAUCUCCUUUCAGAUGCCUGGAUGAAUUUGAUGUCUACAUGGACACAGUCUCGUUCUGUUGCCCAGGCUGGAGUGCAGUGGCGUGAUCUCAGCUCACUGUGACCUCCGCCUCCUGGAUUCAAUUGAUCCUUGUGACUCAGCCACCUGAGUAUCUGGGAUUACAGGAUAUGGUUAAUAGGAGAAUUGCCAUGGACUUGAUACUGAAGAUGGCAGAUUCCCAGCGUUUUAGACAGUUUAUCUUGCUCACACCUCAAAGCAUGAGUUCACUUCCAUCCAGUAAACUGAUAAGAAUUCUCCGAAUGUCUGAUCCUGAAAGAGGACAAACUACAUUGCCUUUCAGACCUGUGACUCAAGAAGAAGAUGAUGACCAAAGGUGAUUUGUAACUUAACAUGCCUUGUCCUGAUGUUGAAGGAUUUGUGAAGGGAAAAAAAAUUCUGGACUCUUUGAUAUAAUAAAAUGAGACUGGAGGCAUUCUGAAAUGAAAGAAACUCCUUUAUAUAUCCAACCACAAUCAAACAUAUAAAUAAGCCUGGAAAACCAACUACAACCGGCAAUUUAAGAUUACUAUUACUUUAAGAAAAUCAAUUUCAUAGUAUUGGUUUUAAAUCUUUUUAAGUUUUUUUUAUACCAUCUAUUUUUAUAGAUUCCUUUUCAGAAGUAAAAUUUUGUACAUAUAUACAUGUACAUAUCUGUUUAGUUUGGGUUCAUUUCUAUAACAUUUUGUAAGAAAAUAAAAGUUUGAGCACCUGAUUAUAUUUAGUUUUGCUUUUCCAGAUAUUACAUUCUAUAGUUACCAAAAAUGGAUGAAGGGAGGGAUUUCUCAUUGCAGAGGGUGGGGUGCAAGGGAAUAAGACACUUGUACGGAACACUGAAGCUUUGCCAACUUCUACACAUGCCUUUUUUGCAGUCCUUUAACUGUCCACCCUACCAAGAGUUUAUAACCAGUAUCAGAACUGGAUAAUGACGCAGUUUUUCACUCUGACCUCCAGCAUGCUUGCCUGAUUUAAAAGCCCUCAGUUUGCAGUCCAGGGACUGUUCAGGCUUGUCCUCAGCUGAGAGGACACAGGCUAGAUGGACUGUGCAGACCAGGCUGGGAGAAGGGCUGGGAAAACUGGGAGUGGAGGGUGGAUCCUCAUGGAGCAGGAGAGUAGCUCGUGGCUCCAGGAGCCUGAGGCCAUGCAGUUGAUGGUGAGCUGACAUCAAUUCUAAGACUCAUCCUAAUUGAGGGGUGUUAAAAAGUGUGCUGCUUAGAAUGACCAAACAUAGUUAUUGUAAAAAAUUAUAUUUAUGAACUUUUUAUUUUAGAAAACAUGAAUUUUAUUGCUCCUUGUAUUAUUUGUUUGAUACUAGGAUUCAUGCUAAACUUUUUAAGAAUGUAUUGGAUAUCAAGAAGCAUUCCUUACAUUAGUAGCAAUAAAUAUUAGAAUAAAUAUGAAAUUGAACUAUUUUCAGAAAAAGGGCAGUAUAUUAAGAGCAGGGACUGUUCUCUAGUUAUUGAGGAAAACUGGACUUUGUUUGUGUUUUUGGUGGAGGAAGAAGUUUAAGAUACUUUAGUCUUAAAUUGAGGUUUGCCAAAUGAGAAGUUCAAAAACUUGGGCUUUCUAAUCAGAAUUUCCAGGAGGAGGAAAGUGUGUGCUGAAUAUUUUAAACAUUUCUCACUGAUCAUACAAAGUCCGAUUUUUAAAUUUACACUUAUAAUGCCUUUGUAUUAAAACUAUUUUUAACGUGUGCUUUUCCAAAUUAAAAAUGAAGUAGAGUAUACCAAAUGCAUAAACUUUCAUUAGCUAAGGAGCUCAUGUCUGAAUUCUGUUGUAGUUUUGAAUGUUGUGCUCUUUCAUACAGAACGGGAAACAUAAUCCUCAGGUAUCCCAGCGUCUCUUGUUGAAUUGAAGAUUAUUCAUUGCUUUGGCCUCACAAAGUUUUGGUUUCAACUAUCAUAAGUGAAAAUAUCUUCCUUUAAUGUUCUAAGUAGUGAUAAUAUUACUAGAAUGAAAGAAUAAAAAGAAAUUGUUCUUUUAAAAUAUGUGUAACUUCUAAAAAUAAAACUUAAAAUUUAUAUGUA